rnacentral:rRNA from 1 species
UGAAAUCCUAUGGCUCAACCAUAGAACUGCAUCCAAAACUGAGGGGCUAGAGUCUGGGAGGGGAAGAUGGAAUUAGUGGUGUAGGGGUAAAAUCCGUAGAGAUCACUAGGAAUACCAAAAGCGAAGGCGAUCUUCUGGAACAGUACUGACGCUGAGGCGCGAAAGCGUGGGGAGCAAACAGGAUUAGAUACCCUGGUAGUCCACGCCCUAAACUAUGAAUGUUAGUCGUCGGGAGGCUCGUCCUCUCGGUGAUGCAGCUAACGCAUUAAACAUUCCGCCUGGGGAGUACGGUCGCAAGAUUAAAACUCAAAGGAAUAGACGGGGACCCGCACAAGUGGUGGAGCAUGUGGUUUAAUUCGAAGAUACGCGAAGAACCUUACCUGGCCUUGACAUUGAUAGAAUCUGCUAGAGAUAGCGGAGUGCCCUUCGGGGAGCUUGAAAACAGGUGCUGCACGGCUGUCGUCAGCUCGUGUCGUGAGAUGUUGGGUUAAGUCCCGCAACGAGCGCAACCCUCGUCACUAGUUACUAACGGUUCGGCCGAGGACUCUAGUGAGACUGCCUUCGUAAGGAGGAGGAAGGUGAGGACGACGUCAAGUCAUCAUGGCCCUUACGGCCAGGGCGACACACGUGCUACAAUGGGAUGUACAAUGAGACGCAAUACCGCGAGGUGGAGCAAAUCUAUAAAGCAUCUCUCAGUUCGGAUUGUAGUCUGCAACUCGACUACAUGAAGCUGGAAUCACUAGUAAUCGUAGAU